rnacentral:rRNA from 1 species
UACGAAGGGGGCUAGCGUUGCUCGGAAUCACUGGGCGUAAAGGGUGCGUAGGCGGGUUCUUAAGUCAGAGGUGAAAUCCUGGAGCUCAACUCCAGAACUGCCUUUGAUACUGAGAGUCUUGAGUUCGGGAGAGGUGAGUGGAACUGCGAGUGUAGAGGUGAAAUUCGUAGAUAUUCGCAAGAACACCAGUGGCGAAGGCGGCUCACUGGCCCGAUACUGACGCUGAGGCACGAAAGCGUGGGGAGCAAACGGG